UCCCUGGUGGCUUACACAGUAAAGAAUCUGCCUGCAAUGCAGGAGACCUGGGUUUGAUUCCUGGGUUGGGAA
rnacentral:tRNA from 1 species